CCUACGGGAGGCAGCAGUGGGGAAUAUUGCACAAUGGGGGGAACCCUGAUGCAGCGACGCCGCGUGAGUGAAGAAGUAUUUCGGUAUGUAAAGCUCUAUCAGCAGGGAAGAAAAUGACGGUACCUGACUAAGAAGCCCCGGCUAACUACGUGCCAGCAGCCGCGGUAAUACGUAGGGGGCAAGCGUUAUCCGGAUUUACUGGGUGUAAAGGGAGCGUAGACGGCAGAGCAAGUCUGAAGUGAAAGCCCGGGGCGGAACCGCGGAACUGCUUUGGAAACUGCGCGGCUAGAGUGCAGGAGAGGUAAGUGGAAGUCCUAGUGUAGCGGUGAAAUGCGUAGAUAUUAGGAGGAACACCAGUGGCGAAGGCGGCUUACUGGACAGUAACUGACGUUGAGGCUCGAAAGCGUGGGGAGCAAACAGGAUUAGAUACCCCAGUAGUC
rnacentral:rRNA from 1 species